GUAGAGACAAGAUCUUGCUAUGUUGCCCAGGCUGAUCUUGAACUCCUGGCCUCAAGCCAUCCUCCUGCCUUGUCCUCACAAAGGAAUGGAAUUACAGAAACAUCCCUACGUUCUGCAAAGAAUCCCAUUUUUUGUUGACUUUCUUAAGCCAAGGCACAACUCCCUCUGACUCCUCCCGAGUGUGAGCCCGUUCCAUCUGCAGCCAACACUUCCGGAAAAAGAGAAGAGAGGGGAGAAACACCAUCUCAUUGUUGGCAUGUGGUGUGACGAGCCAAGUGAUGGCCCUUCCCACUCGGUCUUCAGCGCUGAGAGGAGCGUUUCUUCUCCCCAAGAAAACACAUCCAGUGAUUGACCUCAGCCACUUUAUCCUGGGCUGACCAUGGGAUUAGGACCACAAAGAAAAUAUGAUCAAGGGGUUAUGACUCUUAGGCAAAAAUAAAGAUUCUAUUUUAUUGUUUUUAAAUACAGACAUUUUAUUAAGAAGUUAAACAUUCUAUAAAUUUCAAUCUCACUAACGGAUAUUAGAAAUUUUUAGUUAUUAAAGUACUCAUGAGAUGUUUUAAAAUUAAGCAUCUAUCUUGAUAAAUGAACUCUAAGUAAUACCAUCUAAAUGCAUGGACUUGGGUUUUGGGGGUGAAUGCUGGAGCAGUUUGCAAACUUGCAGCUAUACAGUGUAUCGAUUACAGGCAUUUUAUAGCCACAAACUCAGGUGUGCCAAGAUGAAACUUCACUUUUUCAUGAUUUUUAAAUGCUAUUGGAGACAAG
rnacentral:lncRNA from 10 species